AAUUUUAUUUGCAUGUUUGUAGUGGUUUCUUUUCUGUUGGAAAUAUAUGCCUGGUGUUUUAGCCAGGAGUUUUCAACUGCAGAAUGAUCAGAGUAAUCUGAAGCAGGGAGACACCAAAUUAUCUGAAAUGUUCUUAAAGGACAGGUAAUUGUAACGAUUGUUCAAUUAAAUUGCCUGUAUUAACAUUUUAUCCACGAAUCUUAUUUAUUCUAUUUAUGAUGAUUUCAGAUGUGGUGUCUACAGGAUAAACUCGAUUGAUUUCUUAUCCAGCAGUAAAUGUUUAUCGUUGGUCUGUUGCAUAAAUCUGAGGCAGGGGAAAUAUCAGAAGUAUUGCAGGGUCAUAUGCAUUACAAAUGCACGGACUAUAUCCUGGGUCAAACAUUUUAUUUUUCUCAUAUACACAAAAAACAAGCAAGCCUCACAAUGCAGUUCUAGCAGAUUCCAAUCAACUAGAUAAAAGCUCAUAAAUAUGAACAUAUUAGCCAGCGCUAUAGUAAUUCAAAAAGACUAUGGAUGCUAAUGUUGCUAAAGUAGAAGCUGUUGAUGCUUUCUACAGAGAGAAAUGUUGAUGUUAACCCAAGAAGAGAUUUUCAUCUAAUAUAAU
rnacentral:lncRNA from 1 species